rnacentral:rRNA from 1 species
UACGGAGGGUGCAAGCGUUAAUCGGAAUUACUGGGCGUAAAGCGUGCGCAGGCGGUUUUGUAAGUCUGUCGUGAAAUCCCCGGGCUUAACCUGGGAAUUGCGAUGGAGACUGCAAGGCUAGAAUCUGGCAGAGGGGGGUAGAAUUCCACGUGUAGCAGUGAAAUGCGUAGAGAUGUGGAGGAACACCGAUGGCGAAGGCAGCCCCCUGGGAUAACACUGACGCUCAUGCACGAAAGCGUGGGGAGCAAACAGG